rnacentral:rRNA from 1 species
ACUGAACGCUUUCUUCAUUCUUUACACAUGCAAGUCGAGCGGCAGCACGGGGGCAACCCUGGUGGCGAGCGGCGAACGGGUGAGUAAUACAUCGGAACAUGCCCAGUCGUGGGGGAUAACACUUCGAAAGAAGUGCUAAUACCGCAUACGUCCUGAGGGGGAAAGCGGGGGAUCGCAAGACCUCGCGCGAUUGGAGUGGCCGAUGUCAGAUUAGCUAGUUGGUGGGGUAAAGGCCUACCAAGGCAACGAUCUGUAGCUGGUCUGAGAGGAUGAUCAGCCACACUGGGACUGAGACACGGCCCAGACUCCUACGGGAGGCAGCAGUGGGGAAUUUUGGACAAUGGGGGCAACCCUGAUCCAGCCAUUCCGCGUGAGUGAAGAAGGCCUUCGGGUUGUAAAGCUCUUUCGGCAGGAACGAAACGGUGAGCUCUAACAUAGCUUGCUAAUGACGGUACCUGAAGAAGAAGCACCGGCUAACUACGUG